AUUGAACGCUGGCGGCAUGCUUUACACAUGCAAGUCGAACGGCAGCGCGGGCUUCGGCCUGGCGGCGAGUGGCGAACGGGUGAGUAAUGCAUCGGAACGUGCCCAGUAGUGGGGGAUAGCCCGGCGAAAGCCGGAUUAAUACCGCAUACGACCUGAGGGUGAAAGCGGGGGACCGAAAGGCCUCGCGCUAUUGGAGCGGCCAAUGUCGGAUUAGCUAGUUGGUGGGGUAAAGGCUUACCAAGGCGACGAUCCGUAGCUGGUCUGAGAGGACGACCAGCCACACUGGGACUGAGACACGGCCCAGACUCCUACGGGAGGCAGCAGUGGGGAAUUUUGGACAAUGGGGGCAACCCUGAUCCAGCCAUGCCGCGUGCGGGAAGAAGGCCUUCGGGUUGUAAACCGCUUUUGUUCGGGAAGAAAUCCUCUGGGCUAAUACCCCGGGGGGAUGACGGUACCGGAAGAAUAAGCACCGGCUAACUACGUG
rnacentral:rRNA from 1 species